AACGAACGCUGGCGGCAUGCCUAACACAUGCAAGUCGAACGAGACCUUCGGGUCUAGUGGCGCACGGGUGCGUAACGCGUGGGAACCUGCCCUUAGGUUCGGAAUAACUCCCCGAAAGGGGUGCUAAUACCGGAUAAUGUCUUCGGACCAAAGAUUUAUCGCCUUUGGAUGGGCCCGCGUUGGAUUAGCUAGUUGGUAGGGUAAAAGCCUACCAAGGCGACGAUCCAUAGCUGGUCUGAGAGGAUGAUCAGCCACACUGGGACUGAGACACGGCCCAGACUCCUACGGGAGGCAGCAGUGGGGAAUAUUGGACAAUGGGCGAAAGCCUGAUCCAGCAAUGCCGCGUGAGUGAGGAAGGCCUUAGGAUUGUAAAGCUCUUUUACCCGGGAUGAUAAUGACAGUACCGGGAGAAUAAGCUCCGGCUAACUCCGUG
rnacentral:rRNA from 1 species